UCUUUCCUUCUCUGAGAUAGAGAGAAUGAGGGCGUGGCACAGAGGAGGUCCUCCAUGGAAAGUCUAAGGAACAGCCAAGCUUGGGAAGAAAGCCUAGAUUGAGUGCUGGAAGGAAUGUGGACAACAGCCAAAGCUCUCCGGCCAGAGUCUAAUACUUCACUACAUUUACAUGUCAUUGAAAUACUAACAGAUAGGAAGCAACUGUUACCAGACCAAGUUGCACCUAUUACAAUUAAUGCUGUUUAGUAAUUGUUAUUGUUAUAAAUGAUGAUAAAGGGAGAAUUUUU